rnacentral:rRNA from 1 species
UAUGAGGGUGGCAAGCGUUACUCGGAAUUACUGGGCGUAAAGCGUGCGUAGGUGGUUUGUUAAGUCUGUUGUGAAAGCCCCGGGCUCAACCUGGGAAUGGCAAUGGAUACUGGCAAGCUAGAGUGCGGUAGAGGGUAGUGGAAUUCCCGGUGUAGCGGUGAAAUUCGUAGAUAUCGGGAGGAACACCGGUGGCGAAGGCGGCGAUCUGGGUCGAUACUGACGCUGAGGUGCGAAAGCGUGGGGAGCAAACAGG